CCUACGGGUGGCAGCAGUGAGGAAUAUUGGUCAAUGGGCGCGAGCCUGAACCAGCCAAGUCGCGUGAGGGAAGACGGUCCUCUGGAUUGUAAACCUAUUUUGUCGGGGAGCAAAAGACGCCACGCGUGGCUUUCCGAGAGUACCCGAAGAAAAAGCUUCGAAUAACCACGGGCCAGCAGACGAGGUAAUACGGAGGAUGCGAGGGUUAUUCGGAUUUAUUGGGGUGAAAGGGUGCGCAGGUGGAAGAUCAAGUGAGCGGUAAAGUUGAGAGGCUCAACCUCUUCGAGCAGUUGAAACUGGUUGUCUUGAGUGAGCGAGAAGUAUGCGGAAUGCGUGGUGUAGCGGUGAAAUGCAUAGAUAUCACGAAGAACUCCGAUUGCGAAGGCAGCAUACCGGCGCUCAACUGACGCUCAUGCACGAAAGUGUGGGUAUCGAACAGGAUUAGAUACCCUGGUAGUC
rnacentral:rRNA from 1 species